CCUAUAUUACUCCACAAUCAAAGAUCAAAUUUUGUUCAUUCAUAUUCAUCUUCAACCCUUGUGUUCUUCAAAUUUUCAAGGAUUUUCACUUAUACUUUGGUGAUUAAUUAUUGUCAAGGCUUGUUAAAAUCCUACAAACCAUUUGCCAUUGAUGUUCGAAGCAUCUCAAAUUAUUAGGAGAAGGAUCGUUUGAGAACAACGAUAUCGUGUUCAAGUCAUUCGUUGAUACAAGUUCGUGAUUGUCUUGUUCUUGGUAUUGCCGGUUCGUGUUUCAUGAUUUCUACUCCAAUCCAGUGAAAUUUAUCCAACGAAAUGUAUUUUGGAAUACUGAUAUUUUUGGAAAAUGUAUAGUUAAAAAAGAAGAAAUUUUUUUGAUUCCACGUAUAAUAUUAUUUUAUUGAGAAAUGUAUUAUUGAAAAGAAGAAAAGGAAAGGGCAUUAAUGGAGCCCAAACAGCUAAUUAGCACUCACAUCCCUACCACCUGGACAGCUUGCAAACCAAAUCUGAUGUCCUCGGAUCACCAAACCAUUACCAGAAAGAGGAAUGAGCAAGACGUUACACCCACAAGCUAAAAAUCUGGAGACAUUAAGGUCAAACUCUAUAUCCAGCGGAAAACAUACACCUCACCUAACCCAGAUUGCAGCCCAGAAGAGGUUUAAAACUAUAGAAAAAUCACUCAACUACACUUGUGAUGCUGCUAGAGUAAUAAAUUCCAGAUAAGAUUUAAAGAGCUUAAGAAAGUCUUCAUUUAUGUAUUAUUAUUUUAUUAACUAAUAAUAUCAUAACAUUUCUUCAAGGCCUGCUUUUUCCACACAGAGCAGUGUGUUUAAGAUAGAAUUAAUCAGCCUCCCAUCAGUCAAGGACAUGCAAGUUGCCAGUCAGAUUGAAAUUAUGGAUGGAGUGGCCAAAACCAUGGAGUUUUUUCAAGUGCAAUAUUUGUGAGGGGUGAGCACCAUGUAGAUGUAGAUGCAACAUGAAAUGUAAGAUCCUGUCCUCCCUGAAAUCAGAAUAUAUAAAAAGCAUGUUUGGCUAUGCUUAUAAAUUGCUAUUAUCCUACAAGGUGCUUAUAGCACCUUAUAACCUUAGACAAGCAUGCUAUCUGCAGGGAGUUUCUUUCCCAUUUAUUAAGUUUAAUGAUGAAUAAGUAUCUGUUUGUUGGUCAUCUGAACAUUUUUCGAAUUUUCAAUCUCUCAAAUUCUCACUCAAAGUAUCCUCCCUGUAAAGCUUAUGAUAU
rnacentral:lncRNA from 1 species